UAUUAGCUAUGAUGAUAAUGUGUAUCCCAGCUCAUUACGAGGCUUUUAUGUAAGGCCUUUGAAUUUAAUCUUCCACAUUUAUCUGAGCUACUA